rnacentral:rRNA from 1 species
UACGGAGGGGGCUAGCGUUGUUCGGAAUUACUGGGCGUAAAGCGCGCGUAGGCGGACUGGAAAGUUGGAGGUGAAAUCCCAGGGCUCAACCUUGGAACUGCCUUCAAAACUAUCAGUCUAGAGUUCGAGAGAGGUGAGUGGAAUUCCGAGUGUAGAGGUGAAAUUCGUAGAUAUUCGGAGGAACACCAGUGGCGAAGGCGGCUCACUGGCUCGAUACUGACGCUGAGGUGCGAAAGCGUGGGGAGCAAACAGG